rnacentral:tRNA from 1 species
GCAGGCGUGUUCGAAUGGUUACGCUGUUCGCGUUGUAAGCGGAUGAUCAGGGGUUCGUUUCCCAUCUUCUAUU